GAAACCAACAGGGAUUGCCUCAGUAACGGCGAGUGAAGCGGCAAAAGCUCAAAUUUGAAAUCUGGCACCGUUAGGUGUCCGAGUUGUAAUUUGGAGAGGAUACUUCGGGUGUGGCUACGGCGUAAGUCCCUUGGAACAGGGCGUCAUAGAGGGUGAGAAUCCCGUCUUAAGUCGUUUGUCCACGCCCAUGCGAAGUUCCUUCGACGAGUCGAGUUGUUUGGGAAUGCAGCUCUAAGUGGGUGGUAAAUUUCAUCUAAAGCUAAAUAUUGGCCGGAGACCGAUAGCGAACAAGUAGAGUGAUCGAAAGGUUAAAAGCACCUUGAAAAGGGAGUUAAAUAGCACGUGAAAUUGUUGAAAGGGAAGCGCUUGCAACCAGACUCGGUCACAGGGGCUCAGCAGGCAUGCGUGCCUGUGUACUCCCCUGUGUCGGGCCAGCAUCAGUUCUGGCGGUUGGUUAAAGGCCCUUGGAAUGUAUCGUCCUCCGGGACGUCUUAUAGCCAAGGGUGUAAUGCAGCCAGCCGGGACUGAGGAACGCGCUUCGGCACGGAUGCUGGCGUAAUGGUUGUAAGCGACCCGUCUUGAAACACGGACCAAGGAGUCUAACAUCCACGCGAGUGUUCGGGUGUCAAACCCGUGCGCGCAGUGAAAGCGAACGGAGGUGGGAGCCCUUUAGGGUGCACCAUCGACCGAUCCUGAAGUCUUCGGAUGGAUUUGAGUAAGAGCGUGGCUGUUGGGACCCGAAAGAUGGUGAACUAUGCCUGAAUAGGGUGAAGCCAGAGGAAACUCUGGUGGAGGCUCGCAGCGGUUCUGACGUGCAAAUCGAUCGUCAAAUUUGGGUAUAGGGGCGAAAGACUAAUCGAACCAUCUGGUAGCUGGUUCCUGCCGAAGUUUCCCUCAGGAUAGCAGUAACGUUUUCAGUUUUAUGAGGUAAAGCGAAUGAUUA
rnacentral:rRNA from 1 species